ACCGCGCAGGCGCGCCCCCGCCGCGAUGACGUCAAGACGUUCCUGCUCCCAACCGUCUCCGAGCAACGGGGGCCGUCCGAGCCCAUAAAUGCCCAAGAGACUGCAGCAGCCAGAGAAACCCAGCUAGUCAGAGAAUAAACUGUGUAUCUCAGAUCCUGCCAGAGUUGCUGAGCUCCUCCAGCAAGUUCCACCAUCGCUUCCAGCCUUUAGUAUCCGCAGUUCUUUGUUUUAUUUAUAAAGCAGAUAUGAAGAUUGUAGUGGAUACUGCAAAGGCUACUGGGCUUGACAAUAUAACAACAAUUGUGGUGAAGAUGUGUGCUCAGAACUUGCCACAUCCAUAGCUGAGCUGUUCCAGUACAGCUACAACACUGGCAUCCACCUGACAAUGUAGAAAAUAACCCAGAUUUCUCAUUCACCUUCUUAGCCAAUGCUAUUCCUGUACUCCACAACUACCUGAUGAAGGAGCGGCGCUCCGGAAGCUAAUGAUUACAAAUAAA